GUCUCAGUAGCAUAGCGUUUAGCGCACUGCCCUGGAUAGGUUGAGACGUAGGUUCGAAUCCCGCCUGAAAUG
rnacentral:tRNA from 1 species